GUAGGUUAAGUCGGCUAUCGAAACUCGUAAAUCGUUAAAUAAUCGCGAGAGUCUGGGAUAUACAUUUUUUUUUCUCGUUCAUUGUCGCACUCAUGUAGAGAAAUGUUCGCAGCCACGGAAACAAUCGGAUCCGUUAAGUUCUCGGCGUCGGGCGAGCUUGCAAACGGAGCUUAAGCACGCAGCUGUCGCAGUUCAAUAGAAACGUCUUGGUGCGAACCAGUUUUUGCGUGGGUCGACUUGUGGGAGCCAGCACUGUAUCCUAUUUCAUUGAUUUUUGCCGGUAACUAGCACGCUUUUGUUAUCGUUAUGAAUUCCGAGAACUACAAAACGCAAUCCAGGAACGUUAGAGGAAACUAUUAUUAUGCUACUACGCAGAUCCACUGAUUCGUCGUGGGUACAUUUUCAAACUUUAAUUGUGGGACUAUUGUGGGAAACAACAGCAUAAUCGUGGGAAGAAAUUCAUUCCAAAAGUGAUGCACGGUACAAAUGCUUAGGUACUGAAUUACUAUGGAACAGCAUUAUGUUUGCAGACGAUGGGCCUAAUAAUGCAAAAAUACUUUUUAAAAGAAUAGGCAGGACUUGGUUUAAAGUCUCUCGACAGUCGGGUAAUCAUCCAAAAAGCAAAAAAAGGUGCCCUGCUAGACGUAACGCCACGACUUACUCGUCAACUAUUCGAUUUUAAAGGAUCUCAACUCACAAUGGCAUUAAGGGCAAUAUAAGAAAAAGAACAUAUGUAAAGGAUACAUUUGAAAUCCCUUCAGAAUAGUCUCCACACGAUCAUUUUUAUCUCGUUCAGUUGUUAGAACGUCAGUCAUAUUUGCGAAAAUAAAAGUUCAAUUCCAAUUUUA